rnacentral:lncRNA from 1 species
AGCUGGAGGAGGGGGAAGAGAUAACACACUGCCUGUUUCUCUUUGCUUCCCCGACUCCAUCUUAAAAGGCCAUGCCCAAAAGAAGGCAGGCAGUGGCUCCUGAGCUCCAGGACUCUGCUUGUAAGUGUAAAUGGGGAAGAAAAGGAAUCCAAGAUCUGUUCAGAUUCUGGCUGGCCUCACAGGACUGACACCAAAUGCUGCCAGACUCUCUGAGUGCCAAGGUUGGCCUCUGAAGAAAGGGGAAAUCUACAACAGAGAAUACUUCCAGCUCCAGUAACAAAUGUGUCUGUGAUUUCAAGAGGAGGCCUGGGUUCAAGAGGCCUUGGCUGCAUCAUCCCAUCUGGAAGCAAAUCAGCACUGAUUGGCCUCAUUUCCACCCUUCACAUUAGGGCAUUUGUGGUAGAAAGAAGUUCCAUUGUGCCUUUCCAUGGAUGAGAGACACUGUUCACCUCCUGUCACCUCUGCCAUGCUCACAUCCCCCCUAUUUUUUCCAUAUCCCUAGUCUUGCAAACCUGGUACAAUCCAAAAAUUCUACCUAAACCAUCCCAAGACACACAGUCCCUCUCUCUGAGGUGGAAGGUGGGUGAAACACAGAGGCCCUGAGGAAACAGGGACUCUCGUGUGAAUGAUAAUAGCAGGUCAGAUCUGCAGAGUGGGCAAGGGGUUCAUGACAGGGUCCUCACUGGGAGACACAAACACCCCUGCCAACAUACCUCCCAGGAAGACAGAGAGCCACAGGCCCAGGUGUACAGACUCCCCACCAGUCUGAGGCCACCCGCACUGUGGCCUACACACACAGAAAGCUGGUCAU